CAACUACUCCCUCUGUCCCAAAUUUCUUGUCUUAGAUUUGUCUAGAUACGGAUGUAUCUAAUACUAAAAUGUGACUUGAUACAUCCGUAUCUAGACAAAUCUAAGACAAUAAUUUUGGGAUGGAGGGAGUACUUU
rfam:Triticum aestivum genome assembly, contig: Triticum_aestivum_CS42_TGACv1_scaffold_385918_5AL